AACGCACCUUGCGCUCCUUGGUAUUCCGAGGAGCAUGCCUGUUUGAGUGUCAUGAAAUUCUCAACCUUUCCAGCUUUUUAAAGCUAGUUGGGCUUGGAUUUUGGGGGUUGCUGGUUUUCAACGAAUCAGCUCUUCUUAAAUGUAUUAGCAGUCCUUUGCUGACCAUCAUUGGUAUGAUAAUUAUCUAUAUCACUGAUAGCUAGUUUCCCUUGUGGAGAGGCUCUGCUUCUAACCGUCUCUUCUGAGACAAUUGACACCUUUGACCUCAAAUCAGGUAGGAUUACCCGCUGAACUUAA
rnacentral:misc_RNA from 1 species